UACGUAGGGGGCAAGCGUUGUCCGGAAUCAUUGGGCGUAAAGCGCGUGUAGGCGGCUCGGUAAGUCCGCUCUGAAAGUCCAGGGCUCAACCCUGGGAUGCGGGUGGAUACUGCCGAGCUCGAGUCCGGAAGAGGCGAGUGGAAUUCCUGGUGUAGCGGUGAAAAUGCGCAGAUAUCAGGAGGAACACCAAUGGCGAAGGCAGCUCGCUGGGACGUGACUGACGCUGAGACGCGAAAGCGUGGGGAGCAAACAGG
rnacentral:rRNA from 1 species